rnacentral:rRNA from 1 species
UACGAAGGGGGCUAGCGUUGCUCGGAUUGACUGGGCGUAAAGGGCGCGUAGGCGGUUCGUACAGUCAGACGUGAAAUUCCUGGGCUCGAACCUGGGGGCUGCGUUUGAUACGUGCGGACUUGAGUGCGGAAGAGGGUCGUGGAAUUCCCAGUGUAGAGGUGAAAUUCGUAGAUAUUGGGAAGAACACCGGGUGGCGAAGGCGGCGACCUGGGUCCGAUACUGACGCUGAGGCGCGAAAGCGUGGGGAGCAAACAG